rnacentral:rRNA from 1 species
UGGCGAGUGGCGGACGGGUGAGGAAUACAUCGGAAUCUACUUUUUCGUGGGGGAUAACGUAGGGAAACUUACGCUAAUACCGCAUACGACCUACGGGUGAAAGCAGGGGAUCUUCGGACCUUGCGCGAUUGAAUGAGCCGAUGUCGGAUUAGCUAGUUGGCGGGGUAAAGGCCCACCAAGGCGACGAUCCGUAGCUGGUCUGAGAGGAUGAUCAGCCACACUGGAACUGAGACACGGUCCAGACUCCUACGGGAGGCAGCAGUGGGGAAUAUUGGACAAUGGGCGCAAGCCUGAUCCAGCCAUACCGCGUGGGUGAAGAAGGCCUUCGGGUUGUAAAGCCCUUUUGUUGGGAAAGAAAUCCAGCUGGCUAAUACCCGGUUGGGAUGACGGUACCCAAAGAAUAAGCACCGGCUAACUUCGUGCCAGCAGCCGCGGUAAUACGAAGGGUGCAAGCGUUACUCGGAAUUACUGGGCGUAAAGCGUGCGUAGGUGGUCGUUUAAGUCCGUUGUGAAAGCCCUGGGCUCAACCUGGGAACUGCAGUGGAUACUGGGCGACUAGAGUGUGGUAGAGGGUAGCGGAAUUCCUGGUGUAGCAGUGAAAUGCGUAGAGAUCAGGAGGAACAUCCAUGGCGAAGGCAGCUACCUGGACCAACACUGACACUGAGGCACGAAAGCGUGGGGAGCAAACAGGAUUAGAUACCCUUGGUAGUCCACGCCCUAAACGAUGCGAACUGGAUGUUGGGUGCAAUUUGGCACGCAGUAUCGA